rnacentral:rRNA from 1 species
UACGUAGGGGGCAAGCGUUGUCCGGAAUCAUUGGGCGUAAAGAGCGUGUAGGCGGCUCGGUAAGUCCGCUGUGAAAGUCCAGGGCUCAACCCUGGAAUGCCGGUGGAAACUGUCGAGCUAGAGUCCGGAAGAGGCGAGUGGAAUUCCUGGUGUAGCGGUGAAAUGCGCAGAUAUCAGGAGGAACACCAAUGGCGAAGGCAGCUCGCUGGGACGGUACUGACGCUGGAGACGCGAAAGCGUGGGGAGCAAACAGG